CCCCUGAUAUGUACAUUAAACUCAGCGUUUUUUCCUGGGAACUAUUGAAAUCUAGAUGUAGCUACCACUGUUGAUUGGUAUACACAAGAAAUGCAUGGAAGUAUGAGGCUGCCUUUUGAGAAAAAGUGACUACAAUAUCCUCUCGAUGUGAAUAGCGCAAGCCAAAAGCGGGACUUUUAUAGUGUUCUAAUAUUGAAAUGUCCUUCAAUUUGGGCAGGCCCCAGUG
rnacentral:lncRNA from 1 species